AUACGUAGGGAGCGAGCGUUGUCCGGAAUUACUGGGCGUAAAGGGCGCGUAGGCGGCGCUUCAAGUCGUCUGUCAAAUGGGAGGGCUUAACCCUUUUUCGCAGACGAAACUGGAGAGCUUGAGAAGCAGAGAGGCAAACAGAAUUCCUGGUGUAGCGGUGAAAUGCGUAGAUAUCAGGAAGAGUACCAGUGGCGAAGGCGGUUUGCUGGCUGCAUACUGACGCUGAAGCGCGAAAGCCAGGGGAGCAAACGGGAUUAGAUACCCCGGUAGUCCUGGCAGUAAACGAUGUAUGCUGGGUGUGAGACUAGCGAUAGUUUCGUGCCGAAGUUAACGCGAUAAGCAUACCGCCUGGGGAGUACGGUCGCAAGAUUGAAACUCAAAUGAAUUGACGGGG
rnacentral:rRNA from 1 species